rnacentral:rRNA from 1 species
GAUACUCUCCACGAAUGUCUCCCUUCGUGACGGGCUUACCAGGCAAUUUUGGGACUAACCGGCGAAGCUAAUGGUAACCGUCCAAACCAAGUAUCAGCCAAGAAACCUCAGGAAUACUGAACAACUAACAAUGAUUUAAUAAUCUGUUUAAAACAACUUUCAACAACGGAUCUCUUGGUUCUCGCAUCGAUGAAGAACGCAGCGAAAUGCGAUACGUAAUGUGAAUUGCAGAAUUCAGUGAAUCAUCGAAUCUUUGAACGCACAUUGCACUCCUUGGUAUUCCGAGGAGUAUGCCUGUUUCAGUAUCAUGAGCACUCUCACACCUAACCUUUGGGUUAUGUCGUGGAAUUGGGAUGCGCCGAUUUUUAUUAGUCGGCACUCCUAAAAUGUAGCUCUUGGCUGUUUCCUACUACAGCAGUUUGGCCUAAUAGUUUUGACUUUUGUCAAAUCUUUGGCUACAUUUGCUUCUGGAAGUCAGUCUUGAUAAUACAGAAAACUCAUUUCAAACUUUGAUCGAAAUCGGAG